UUGUUACACGUGAUUUUAUGCUCUUUUAAACAUUUAUAAAUGUGCUGCUUCUUUGUUUUUACAUAGCCAGCCAGAAUGGAGUCGCAGCCGCAGUGUGUCUGGUGACCCACGGGGACCAUGAUAAAAAUUCAUCUUCCAGAAAGUCCCAGAGCAGCGUCCACACCCCCUGAAAAGACCAAGGUGUGAGGUGUCUGCUGUUGAUUCCAGCUUCCACCUCAGUGACAGUGCAAGCUCAGUGAACUGUUCAAGGUAAAAAAAAAUUAAAACAUUUCAGAAUUUUUAAGAUAUUAACAAUUAAAUAAGUAUGUGAUUACAUCAUGACGGAGGCUACUGAUUCUGCCCGUGACACUUGGUGGUGACGUGUGAGCUGAUUCACCUGGAAAAUAACUUUUACAUUAAAUAUUUUGUUUUUGCUAUCAAAAGUAAAUUAACUAAUAACCUGCAUUAUUGCAGGACACUCAGCAAAAUAUGGAGGCAGGCACACAUUAAUAUUCUAUAAGAGCACAUAAGCCUGGCUGAUCACCUGAUAACUCCUGUCAUCUGGUUGUGACAGCAUGAGGAUGUCCUCACACACCUGUAACCUAUCAGCUCAUCUGGCAGAAUAGAGAGAGAAGAGACAACACCACAUCUCCUGUUCCUGGAAAGCCUUCAGCCAUCCUUCGAUGACUGAGAACCUCCGUCAGCUCUGUCUCCUGUCUGCCUACAAUUAUUAUAAUAAAUAUUGUGUUUGACAAGUUUUUUGUGCUGCCAAAUAUCUCAUUUAGAUUCCAGUUUUGAUAUUUUAAUGGAUAUUUAUAAAUUACAUUGAUUAUCACAUUUUUGUUGCAUGUUUAACUAGCUCUAUUGUGAUUAAUUAAACUAGCACCUCACUGUUAAAAGCUCGUUUUAAUUUCAAGCAUGUUUAAGUAUUUAUGGACAUGAACAAAAACAGGAAAUAUAUAAAUUGAGAUUUAUUUAAUUAAUAUAACAAAUAAGGGGGAAAGAGUCAUUGAAAGGCACAUUCUUCUGGAAGCUCCUGAUCCUGACGACACCAGCAGAGGCCAGCUGCAGACACCAGAGGACCUAGAACCGGGAGAGCAGCUGUUAGUAGUAAAUAAAUAAAGAAAUCAGGGCAGUUUUAGUGGGCUGAAAACAUUACAGAAUAAUUUUCUCAUGGGGUAUUUUCAUAACUUUAUAUGCAGCAGACUGUAACUUGAGCCCAGGGCUACCGGAGAGCUGCUAUCCAGCAUGUUUCAGUGGAUUUUCCUGCUUUAACAGGUUAGAUUAGCUGUUAAGCAGCUCAGCUAUUUGUUGCUGAUUAAAACCAGGUGUGCUGAAGCAGAUAAACCUCUAAAACAUGCUGAAUACUAGCUUUUUAGGGCCGUGGAGACAAACCCUGCAGCUAAUCCAAUGCUAUGGCUAACGGCUACUUACCUUUCAGAGGUGGUUCUGUUGGGUCGGUUCUGGGAGUUUCAGGCAACUCACAAGCUCAAAACAAUAAGACUCAGGUCCGCUUGUCUCCUCCAAAUAGACUUGGUCCCUUUCUUCUCGAGUGUCUGUGUAAGGAGGGGGAGAAACGUCCUCCACUUCUAAUAACUGCUCAGAGUGAAGGGAGCUAGCUUCGUCUAGUUAGCCAUCGUCUUCGUCACUGCCGCGGCUCCGCCCUCUCAGUCUUCCAGGCAACGCCUACUAAUGUUGCAUUUUUUUAAAUUGAUACGUGGGUGGAGAAGGACUCCGAGGCUCAACUGACCCGCUCUUUAAAGAUGUAAUUCAAGGGGAACACAUUCUUGCCUUUAAGUGGUUAAUUAAUACUAAACUACUAGAAAUUAGGUACAAACAAAAUCUGACUUUAGAAUGGAGAACAUAUUCUUGCUUAGUAGUUGUUAACUAGUAGUUGUUGUUUAGGCUCUAUCAACAUGUGGAGUUUUUUGUUUAUUUACAUAACACCAGAACAUAAUAUGUUUGGUUAUUAAUGCAGAAUAACUAUUCCCCUUGAAUUUCUUCUUUAAAAGCCACAUGUUGAUUUGCGAUAAUUAGUGCGUGCAUUAAUCAGCAACAAACCAUUUACUUCAGUUUACAAACCAUUAUGAAUGGCUUAUUUUUAUAAAAUUCUUAAAUUGUGGCCUGUUAGAAUUGCAGCACUGGUAAUAAGCACUUAAUAACAGCUUAAUGAUGACUAAUUCAGACUUAGUUGUCCCCUAACAUGCAUAUUAGUUAGCAGCUAAUUAAUGGUUAAUUUGUGUUCCCUAAACUCAAGUGUUACCAAUAAAGUCUAUAAUCCACAUGCACCCUGAACUAUUUUGCACACAUUACCUCCAGUGAUGCUCCGUAACUCCAGGACUUCUCUCUCAGUGUCUCCAAGCUUGGUCUCCAGAAGUGUUAUUCUUUCUGCCAUACUUGCAACUUUCUCCCCCAGUACUCCCAUUUUCUCCCCAAUAGACGUGAGGGAACAAACGUCACAACAGCUGGUAGAGCUGGAGCGCUGAAAGGCUCUGUCGUUGUUUUCAUCAUUUCCAGGCUCACAAAGGCAGAGGCCGGAUGCCAGAAUUAGGACAGCGAUCGUCUUCAUCUCCCUGGAUGUGACUGUCUGCUUCUCCCCUCUGAAGCCUCUCGACGUUUGCAGGUUUUCCUGC